CAGCCGCCGCCGUAAUACCGGCGGCCCGAGUGGCGGCCACUAUUAUUGGGCUUAAAGCGUCCGUAGCCGGGUUGGUUAGUCUCCCGGGAAAUCUGGCCGCUUAACGGUCAGAAUUCCGGGAGAUACUGCCAGCCUAGGGACCGGGAGAGGCCGAGGGGAUUCCCGGAGUAGGGGUGAAAUCCUAUAAUCCCGGGAGGACCACCUGUGGCGAAGGCGCCCGGCUGGAACGGGUCCGACGGUGAGGGACGAAGGCCAGGGGAGCAAACCGGAUUAGAUCCCCGGGUAGUCCUGGCUGUAAACGAUGCGGACUUUGUGUCGGACAAGCUAUGAGCUUGUCCGGUGCCGGAGGGAAACCGUUAAGUCCGCCGCCUGGGGAGUACGGCCGCAAGGCUGAAACUUAAAGGAAUUGGCGGG
rnacentral:rRNA from 1 species